AGAGCGAACGCUGGCGGCAUGCCUAAUACAUGCAAGUCGAACGAACACUUCGGUGUUAGUGGCGCACGGGUGCGUAACGCGUGGGAAUCUGCCCUUGGGUUCGGAAUAACAGUUGGAAACGACUGCUAAUACCGGAUGAUAUCGAAAGAUCAAAGAUUUAUCGCCCAGGGAUGAGCCCGCGUAGGAUUAGCUAGUUGGUGAGGUAAAGGCUCACCAAGGCGACGAUCCUUAGCUGGUCUGAGAGGAUGAUCAGCCACACUGGGACUGAGACACGGUCCAGACUCCUACGGGAGGCAGCAGUGGGGAAUAUUAGGACAAUGGGACGAAAGCCUGAUCCAGCCAUCGCCGCGUGGUGUGGAAGAAGGUCUUCGGAUUGAAAAGCACGUUUUAAGUU
rnacentral:rRNA from 1 species